UACGUAGGGGGCUAGCGUUGUCCGGAAUCAUUGGGCGUAAAGCGCGCGUAGGCGGCCAGAUAAGUCCGGUGUGAAAGUCAAAGGCUCAACCUUUGAAUGCCGCUGGAAACUGUCUGGCUUGAGUCCGGGAGGGGCGAGUGGAAUUCCUAGUGUAGCGGUGAAAUGCGCAGAUAUCAGGAGGAACACCAAUGGUGAAGGCAGCUCGCUGGAACGGUACUGACGCUGAGGCGCGAAAGCGUGGGGAGCGAACAGG
rnacentral:rRNA from 1 species